rnacentral:rRNA from 1 species
GACGAACGCUGGCGGUGUGCUUAACACAUACAAGUCGAGCGGAAAGGCCCCUUGGGGUACUCGAGCGGCGAACGGGUGAGUAACACGUGAGUAACCUGCCCUUAUCUUUGGGAUAACCCUCGGAAACGGGGGCUAAUACCGGAUAUGACAUUGCCGGGCAUCUGGUGGUGUGGAAAGUUUUUCGGAUAGGGAUGGGCUCGCGGCCUAUCAGCUUGUUGGUGGGGUGAUGGCCUACCAAGGCGACGACGGGUAGCCGGCCUGAGAGGGCGACCGGCCACACUGGGAUUGAGACACGGCCCAGACUCCUACGGGAGGCAGCAGUGGGGAAUAUUGCGCAAUGGGCGGAAGCCUGACGCAGCGACGCCGCGUGAGGGAUGACGGCCUUCGGGUUGUAAACCUCCUUCACCCAUGACGAAGCGUAAGUGACGGUAGUGGGAGAAGAAGCACCGGCCAACUACGUGCCAGCAGCCGCGGUAAGAC